GAUUUCCCAUCCAUUGGCUUGAGUGAGUUGACGGAGUUUCCUUGGUGUGUUUCCUCUUUAAGCAAGUCCCAGGUUUCUGGUAAAACGCAAUUCGUUGGGACUAGACCUGCGUGUUCACGAGCGGUCAGUACUCCUCCUUCUGUGAACUACACGGUAGUGUUAACAUGUACAGAUGAAGUAUUAGGACAAGGCACUGAGAUCACUACUCUGACUAAAUCAAGCAGUUAUUUAAUUCCAGAUGCACUCGAGCCUGAUCCAGUCGUAUAUAGCACAACAUGCAGUUAGUUCACCAGGAUGAGAAAUUCUUGCCCUUGAAACAAUAAUUGCCAAUUUAUUUUGUUUCUAGUUUAAAUUCUUUUUUUGUUUACUGUAGACAUGCUGAUAUUUAUGUUCUUCCUACAUUGCUAAAUAAUAAUUUAUAUCUUUAUGUUAUAUAAUUUUUGAAUAUUAAAUUUA
rnacentral:sRNA from 1 species